CGAAGAACCUUACCAGGUCUUGACAUCUUCUGCCAACCUAAGAGAUUAGGCGUUCCCUUCGGGGACAGAAUGACAGGUGGUGCAUGGUUGUCGUCAGCUCGUGUCGUGAGAUGUUGGGUUAAGUCCCGCAACGAGCGCAACCCUUAUUACUAGUUGCCAGCAUUCAGUUGGGCACUCUAGUGAGACUGCCGGUGACAAACCGGAGGAAGGUGGGGACGACGUCAAAUCAUCAUGCCCCUUAUGACCUGGGCUACACACGUGCUACAAUGGAUGGUACAACGAGUCGCGAAACCGCGAGGUUUAGCUAAUCUCUUAAAACCAUUCUCAGUUCGGACUGUAGGCUGCAACUCGCCUACACGAAGUCGGAAUCGCUAGUAAUCGCGGAUCAGCAUGCCGCGGUGAAUACGUUCCCGGGCCUUGUACACACCGCCGUCACACCAUGAGAGUUUGUAACACC
rnacentral:rRNA from 1 species